ACCAAUUUUAUUUCUCCUGUGCCUGAUAAACAGGCUACAGUUCUCUCUUUAUACCACCAGUAUUUCUGCCAUGGCACUUUAAGACUAAUCUUUCAACCACUUCCAUCUAAUGGGAAUAUAAGAAAUAAAUUGGAAUCACUUUAUGCAUUGUAUUUGAGAGGCCUAAGAUAGAGCGUGGUUGUUAUUGCUUAUUCAUGGUUCUUGUGAUUAAUCAGAGGUCGCUUCUGGAAGCCUGAUUGCUAUUCUUCCAACUUCUUUGAAAAUCAAUUCCAGCAUAUAUCAAAAGCAACAAUGGAAAAAACCAUAGGAUGACCUUAGCCUAAUCCUUGCUGCAAAUGCAGGCCAAAUUCGGACAUAACACAAAACUGAGGGUCCAACACGUUACCUGUCUGAAUUCAGAUGUAAGUGCUGGCCUCCUCUCUGCAGUCUGUGAGACUACAGAGAGGAGGGGGAACUGGCUGCCUGGCUUCCUCCUUUGAUUGAUGGACAAUUGCGGCAGCCAAUAAGGAUGGAUAGAGGGAGGAGGUCCCAGGAAAGGCUGUUUUCAUUACUGAAUUUGAACGUAAUGAAGUCAGACACAAACCAGAGGCCCAGGCAGAGAACCUCACAUCAAACCAAGGGUUUAAAUUGCAGUCUGGGAGAAUUAGACAGGGUCAACGAAGAUAUGAAAGUUUGGUUAGCAGAUAGAGAACCAUGAAGAAAGAAGAAAGGAUGCUACUUGCUUUUGCCUACUUGUAACUGCUGUGGAGACUUAAUUUGGACCAGAGACUGUCUAAGCUGCUGAGCCUACCAGUAGAAUAACUAAUAAAUUCCUUUAUAUUGAA